UUCUCUAAUUGUUAGUUGGCUUUGUUUUUGAUAAAGCUUGUCUUUCAUCCAUCUUUUCGUGUGUUCUUGAUUUGUGCUGUUGCAGGUGGAUUUUCAGGAGAUGCUUGUCCUGAAUUUAUCUCAUAAUAUGUUUGUGCCAUUGCUACAUAUCUUUACUGUGAGGUGUGAAGAAGGUGAAGAAAUUUGUUUUUACUGUGACUGAGGUAUUUAUGUCCUGCUAUCAUAAAUAGAUGCUAGUUUUUUUCUAUUUUUGAUGUUGAUUUGUGUGCAUUUGUUUCCUGAAGUUCACAUCUGGUUCUGAUUAUUGUUUAUUUGGUGGUUGGAACAUGCAAGGUCAGAAGAUCAAAGGAUGGUUAUACUUAUGUAAAAGCUACAUUUGGUACCAUUGCAGCUCCUGCUGUAGUAUUGCUUGACAUAAAAUUUGGUUUGUGCUGCUAUCUGUCUGUUAGUUUGGUUUGCAUUUCAUUUGGAGAAUGUUUUACUUCGGAAUUCUAGAUUAAAAAUUUUGAAUUAAUCAAAGUUCAACCACCAAAAAGGAUUAAUAGGCCUUUCUUUUGGUGCAUGUUCCCUGUGCUAUUUUCUUGGUUAUAAUUUCACAUCAGAAUAAGAGUAGCAUUCUGGUCUACAUCUCAUUUUCUGUUAUUAAUCUUUUCUUUUCUGAGAAAUUUUACAUGUUGAUUUAUUUUUCUUUUUUGGUUCUCUGUUUGAUUGAAGAAGUUACUUGUUUGAGAUUGUAUAUCUGUGGCUGAUAAAGGAGGGCAAUAUGCUGGUGUUAUCAUACAAGAUAAUCUGUGAAGUUUUUCAGAAAUAUGAUGUAUUAGGUAUUCCAGUCUGUAAGCAAUAAGAGAACAUUUUCUUCAGCAUAAUGCCUUGCUUCUUAGUGAGUAUGACAUCAUUUUAGAGGGCUGUUGGAAGGACAAAAUAAUUUAGUGACUAGUGAAUAGUGAUAGGUUUCAAUCCCGAUCUACCAUAAUUUGAAAGUAAAACGAGGCCUUGUUGGAGAUGGCAGAAGAUAAAGAAUUUUAGGGUUGCGAAAUUCUUAUUGCUGUUCCCAUUAAAUCUAAAGCUAUGAACAGACAAUCUGUCUAGUGUUUGUGUUCCCUUCUCCCUUCACAACGAUACUUGCCAAAUUAAACAGGACGAACUCCUUGUAUUAUCUGCAGCUGAGAUUUAACUCACUCUCAUCUGCUGGUUGAGACAAUUCUGUGGAAGGCACACAGUUCGUACUGCUAGUGGCCAUAGUUGCAGUUGUUGUGUGGUUUUAAGAAUACUUAGUGCAGCAGUUUCUGAAUGCAUGAGCGAUGCUUAUUCACUGUAUUCUGCAUUUGAUAUCAUCUAUAAUGCCUAUUCGCCUCCUGUAAUUCUCAAUCUUGAUUUAGGCUUUUUGUUUACCAGUUGGUUUCUGUUUUUUUCACACUUUUAUCAGUAAAAUUCCAAAAUUACUGAAUAUCAAAAAAGUCUGUAAACCUGCAAAUUUUGUUUUAUUCUGUUAGUUUUCUUGAUCUUAGGGCUAUGCUGGUGAGUAAUAAAGCGUUGACAAAAUCUGUCAAACAUGUAGCACAAACCAUAAUAAAUUGAUAAUAAAUUUCUGCUCUAAAAGCAUGAGAAAGAUGAAAAGAAGAGUUGGGGGAGAAAUGACAGAAAAAAGGGGACUAGAGAGGAUGCUGAAUCAACUUCCAAUCCUCUUGAACCUAGGAGAAGAGAAUGGUGGUCCACUUGAAUGUAGGAUAAGAGCUUGAGCAAUAUGUCCCCUGUUAGUCAACAGAAAGAGAGGAGUUCUAGCCCACAGCCCACUAGGACACCAUUUCAUCAUUUAUCUGUGCUUUAUAUCCUUGAAAAAGGUCAUCAAACACGAUAUUAAUAUGCUAGAGAGAUGAACAUUUUUCAGUUUUUCAUUUGACUAUAGUUGGAGAAGAGUUUCUUAUAACUUAUUAUUGUAAAGAAUGCUUUGUUUAAGACUAUUUAUAUUGUCAUUAUGAAUAUUGGUUACAUUUCACUAGUAAUAUGGCAACUCUAGUUUAUUAGAACUUGUUAUUGUAAAUAUUGCUUGGGUUAAGACCAUUUCAUAUUGCCAUUAUGAAUAUCGGUUACAUUUCACUAGUAAUAUGGCAACUCUACAAAUUAAAUGCUAUAAGUUAUAAACUUUAGGGUGCAGUGACACUGUGUUGGAGGUUUUGAAGGAAUGAAGAAUUGAUGUUUGUUCAUUUUAUGAUGUCCUAAGGGGCCUUUCUGUCGAAGCCUUACCGUGGAGUAUUUGGUGUGUGAAUGCCUCACUUUGGGUUUCUUUUGUUGUUUGGACUACAACUAGGGGAAGAUUCUCACAUAUGAUAAACUCAUAAGUGAGUUUAGAUGCUACCUGGGUGGUGUUGUAUGUGUUGAUGUAGCGGGGAGAUGGUGAAUCAUCUUUUGUUAUGUUGUAUUGUUGCAUUUGAUUUGUGGAGCUUUGUCCUUAGAUCAUUUGGGGUUUAGUGGGUAUUACUGGAAAAAGGGUAUAGAUCUCUUGCAUGGAUGGAGAAAUUGGGUUGGCAAGUACUUGUCGGAAGUAUGGAACUUAGUUACAUUAUGUUUGAUGAGGACAAUAUGGAGGGAAAAAAAUUGAUGUAUGUUUGAGAACACAGAAAGCACAGGGACUCAAUUGUUAGUUAAGUUUACUAGUUCUUUAUUUGAUUCGUCUGUACAUAAUAUUAUUUUUUCUGUAAUUCUUUUGGCUUCUUACUGCCUUUUGUGCAUAAAGUAGUCAUGAUGGAGGCAACAAGAGGCUUGCAAAAAGCAAGCCUCUUGGCCCAAAUAUUCAACAGAUUGUAUGAAUUUUAUUAGCUCACAUUUGAACAUUCAUGUCUUGUGCUGCAUUUGUGAAGGAGGAAAUGCUUGGAAUUUUGAAGAUCACGAAUCAUCAUCAGCAUGGAUGUUGAUGUUUCUUUCUCUAUAUUUGUAUGCGUGGAUGGUUAAAUGCCCUUUACCAAUUUACUGGAUUUCCUCUUACUUCUGAAUUUUAGGAUCUAGCUCUUUCUAAAUAUAACCAGGUGUUACUCUUGUAUUUACAGUUAUCUUUACUUGUGCCUUUUAUUUUAAUUAUUCAUAUUUGCCUUCAUUUUGCUUUUGAAGUGCAUGAUUAUAUAAAUGGGAAUUUGUCUUCCACAUGCUGGAUGGAUUUGCUGUUGGGGAGAAUGGAGGAAUCAUGAUCUGCUUCAUUAUCUUCUCUUUGUGCUUUGCUUUGAGGCUAUGUCUAGUUUGAAGGUGAAUUUUGGGUAAAGAAUGAGAUGGUUUCAGUGGGGGAGGUUGGUGGAAGAUGAUAUGGCUGGUACUCUGGGUUGAAAGGUGAAAUGUUGCCUACAUUUUAGGUUGUAUUGCCACUAAGGUUCUUGUAUAAAUAUAGGGCAGUGGUUGAUUGAUAACGAGAUGGCUGGAAUUUUGGGUUGUAAAGGUAGCUUCUUUGGCUACAUAUUAUUUGAGAUUUUCGUGAA